AUUGAACGCUGGCGGCAGGCCUAACACAUGCAAGUCGGGCGAGAGGCGGACGGGCGAGUAAUGUAUGGGGAUGUGCCUGAUGUAGGGAGAUAACGACUGGAACAGGUAGCUAAUACCGCAUACCAUCAGAUGGACCCAUAUGGGAUUAGCUUGUAGGUGAGGUAAAGGCUGACCUAGGCGACGAGCCCUAGCUGGUCUGAGAGGAUGAUCAGCCACACUGGGACUGAGACACGGCCCAGACUCCUACGGGAGGCAGCAGUGGGGAAUAUUGCACAAUGGGCGCAAGCCUGAUGCAGCCAUGCCGCGUGUAUGAAGAAGGCCUUCGGGUUGUAAAGUACUUUCAGUCGGGAGGCGUUACCGACAGAAGAAGCACCGGCUAACUCCGUGCCAGCAGCCGCGGUAAUAC
rnacentral:rRNA from 1 species